UACGUAGGUCGCAAGCGUUGUCCGGAUUUACUGGGCGUGAAGAGCGCGCAGGCGGCUGGUCAAGUCCGAUGUGAAAUCUCCCGGCUCAACUGGGAAACUGCAUCGGAAACUGAUCGGCUUGAAGAUGGGAGAGGGUAGUGGAAUUCCCGGUGUAGUGGUGAAAUGCGUAGAUAUCGGGAGGAACACCAGUGGCGAAGGCGACUACCUGGCCCAUUCUUGACGCUGAGGCGCGAAAGCUAGGGGAGCGAACGGG
rnacentral:rRNA from 1 species